rnacentral:tRNA from 1 species
CAUUAGAUAACUUAAAGCAAGUGAUGGUCUCUUAAACCAAAUUAUAGUAGAAUAGCACCUACUUCUAAUGA